GGUUGUCAUGACUAGCUACAGGUUGUGGUGACUAGCUACAGGUUGUCAUGACUAGCUACAGGUUGUGGUGACUAGCUACAGGUUGUCAGGACUAGCUACAGGUUGUCAUGACAAGCUACAGGUUGUCACGACUAGCUACAGGUUAGCACCACUAGCUACAGGUUGUCACGACUAGCUACAGGUUGUCGUGACUAGCUACAGGUUGUGGUGACUAGCUACAGGUUGUGGUGACUAGCUACAGGUUGUCAUGACUAGCUACAGGUUGUCAUGACUAGCUACAGGUUGGCAUGGCUAGCUACAGGUUGUGGUGACUAGCUACAGGUUGUGGUGACUAGCUACAGGUUGUCGUGACUAGCUACAGGUUGUGGUGACUAGCUACAGGUUGUCAUGACUAGCUACAGGUUGUGGUGACUAGCUACAGGUUGUCAUGACUAGCUACAGGUUGUCAUGACUAGCUACAGGUUGUCAUGACUAGCUACAGGUUGUCAUGACUAGCUACA